GAUGAACGCUGGCGGCGCGCCUAACACAUGCAAGUCGAACGAUUAAAGCACCUUCGGGUGUGUAUAAAGUGGCGAACGGCUGAGUAACACGUGGGCAACCUGCCCCUUUCAUUGGGAUAGCCACGGGAAACCGUGGAUAAUACCGAAUACUUCGAGACCUCCGCAUGGAAGACUCGAGAAAGCUCCGGCGGAGAGGGAUGGGCCCGCGGCCUGUUAGCUUGUUGGUGGGGUAACGGCCUACCAAGGCAAUGAUGGGUAGCUGGGUUGAGAGACCGACCAGGCCGAUUGGGACUGAGACACGGCCCAGACUCCUACGGGAGGCAGCAGUGGGGAAUCUUGCACAAUGGGCGAAAGCCUGAUGCAGCGACGCCGCGUGCGGGAUGAAGGCCUUCGGGUUGUAAACCGCUUUCAGCAGGGACGAGGCGAAAGUGACGGUACCUGCAGAAGAAGCCCCGGCUAACUACGUG
rnacentral:rRNA from 1 species